rnacentral:rRNA from 1 species
GAUGAACGCUGGCGGCGUGCCUAAUACAUGCAAGUCGAGCGAACAGACGAGGAGCUUGCUCCUCUGACGUUAGCGGCGGACGGGUGAGUAACACGUGGCUAACCUACCUAUAAGACUGGGAUAACUUCGGGAAACCGGAGCUAAUACCGGAUAAUAUAUUGAACCGCAUGGUUCAAUAGUGAAAGACGGUUUUGCUGUCACUUAUAGAUGGAUCCGCGCCGCAUUAGCUAGUUGGUAAGGUAACGGCUUACCAAGGCAACGAUGCGUAGCCGACCUGAGAGGGUGAUCGGCCACACUGGAACUGAGACACGGUCCAGACUCCUACGGGAGGCAGCAGUAGGGAAUCUUCCGCAAUGGGCGAAAGCCUGACGGAGCAACGCCGCGUGAGUGAUGAAGGUCUACGGAUCGUAAAACUCUGUUAUUAGGGAAGAACAAAUGUGUAAGUAACUAUGCACGUCUUGACGGUACCUAAUCAGAAAGCCACGGCUAACUACGUG